rnacentral:rRNA from 1 species
UACGGGGGGGGCAAGCGUUGUUCGGAAUUACUGGGCGUAAAGGGCUCGUAGGUGGCCAACUAAGUCAGACGUGAAAUCCCUCGGCUUAACCGGGGAACUGCGUCCGAUACUGGCGGGCUUGAAUCCGGGAGAGGGAUGCGGAAUUCCAGGUGUAGCGGUGAAAUGCGCAGAUAUCGGGAGGAGCACCGGUGGCGAAGGCGGCGACCUGGCCCGUAAUUGACGCUGAGGCGCGAAAGCGUGGGGAGCAAACAGG